ensembl:lncRNA
UUUCUAUCUGGAGAUCAUCCCUCUUGGAACUCUUCUGUGAGCCCAGGACACGGGUAACUCCUUUGUAAAUGGAGAGGCAAAGGAGUGAAUGAUGGCAUAGGCCCGGCCUCCAUGCUGAGCUUCUACUGGAGAAGUACCGACCUGGUUGUUUGGCACCCCUGCCAACCUCCGUGCCGUUACAAAGUGCCUGCAGGCCACGUUUGGGAUUUCGCGGACUAGCCAGAGAAAAGGAGCUUUGCAGCCAUGACACAACCUCCUGGAAGGGCUGUAACCAGACUUGAAGAAGACCAGACAAAAGUGGCCUAUUCAGCCUGACUGGUCUGUGCCAGACAAAACCAAAGUAUGUCUUUUAGAGCUACUUAGUGGAGUGACAAGCCAGCCUUGAGCCAGAUUUUGUCACACUGUCAAGGAGGGAUUGGCCAGGCAGCGCGUGCAGCCAGCCUGCAGGGUGCUGAGGAGCUCUUGGGCCUCACCACCUUCCUCUGCAGUGAGGCCUGGGUCUCAUGUAUCCCAUGUCUGUGGGUUGGGCAUGGUGAUACAGCCUCAACAGAGCUGUGGUGCCAAAGGAGACUGCACAGAGACUCUACUAGAACAUAUCUUCCUCAGCAACUGCUUUGCUCUGUGGCUGUGUCUGAACACACAAGGCCUGGUAUGCUGACAGGAAAGAGGGCUGAUGCCAGGCUGUGGUGACAGUUUCAGUAGGAGGGCAUUGCUUUCCCUGCCCACAGGAGUUACAGCUGGGAGUCAUAGAAUCGUUAGAAAGCCCACUAAUCUCAUUUAGUCCAACUGCCAACCCAUCCCCACAACGCCAAGAAACCGUGUCCCUCAGUGCCACAUCCGCAUGGUUCUUGAGCACUUCUAGCAACGGUGACUCCACCACUUCUAUGGGCAGCCC